AGCGAACGCUGGCGGCAGGCUUAACACAUGCAAGUCGAGCGGGCAUCUUCGGAUGUCAGCGGCAGACGGGUGAGUAACACGUGGGAACGUACCCUUCGGUUCGGAACAACUCUGGGAAACUGGAGCUAAUACCGGAUACGCCCUUAUGGGGAAAGGUUUACUGCCGAAGGAUCGGCCCGCGUCUGAUUAGCUAGUCGGUGGGGUAACGGCCUACCAAGGCGACGAUCAGUAGCUGGUCUGAGAGGAUGAUCAGCCACACUGGGACUGAGACACGGCCCAGACUCCUACAGGAGGCAGCAGUGGGGAAUAAUGGACAAUGGGCGCAAGCCUGAUCCAGCCAUGCCACGUGAGUGAUGAAGGCCUUAGGGUUGUAAAGCUCUUUUGUCCGAGACGAUAAUGACGGUACCGGAAGAAUAAGCCCCGGCUAACUUCGUG
rnacentral:rRNA from 1 species